UGGCCUACGGGGGGCAGCAGUGGGGAAUAUUGCACAAUGGGGGAAACCCUGAUGCAGCGACGCCGCGUGAGCGAAGAAGUAUUUCGGUAUGUAAAGCUCUAUCAGCAGGGAAGAAAAUGACGGUACCUGACUAAGAAGCUCCGGCUAAAUACGUGCCAGCAGCCGCGGUAAUACGUAUGGAGCAAGCGUUAUCCGGAUUUACUGGGUGUAAAGGGAGCGUAGACGGCAAUACAAGUCGGAAGUGAAAUACCCGGGCUCAACCUGGGAACUGCUUUGGAAACUGUAUGGCUAGAGUGCUGGAGAGG
rnacentral:rRNA from 1 species